ensembl:lncRNA
GCUGUGGUUGUUGUUGGUACAGCAGUAGUGGUUGUUGGUUCAGCGGUGGUUGUUGUUGGGGCAGUUGUGGUAGUUGUUGGUCCAGCUGUGGUUGUUGUCGGUCCAGCAGUAGUGAUUGUUGGGGUAGUUGUGGUAGUAGUUGGGCCAGCUGUGGUAGUCGUUGGUGCAGCUGUGGUUGUUGUUGAUCCAGCUGUGGUAGUUGUUGGGGCAGCUGUGGUAGUUGUUGGGGCGGCUGUGGUUGUUGUUGAUCCAGCCGUGGUAGUUGUUGGUCCAGCUGUGGUAGUUGUUGGGGCUGCUGUGGUAGUUGUUGGGGCAGCUGUGGUGGUUGUUGGUCCAGCUGUUGUAGUUGUUGGUCCAGCUGUGGUAGUUGUUGGUCCAGCUGUAGUGGUGGUUGGUCUGGCGUUGGUAGUUGUUGGGGCAGUUGUGGUUGUUGCUGUUCCAGCUCUGGUAGUUGUUGGGGCAGCUGUGGUAGUCGUUUGGGCAGAUGUGGUUGUUGUUGAUCCUGCUGUGGUAGUUGUUGGUCUAGCUGUGGUAGUUGUUGGGGCAGCUGUGGUUGUUGUUGGGGCAGCUGUGGUUGUUGUUGGGGCAGCGGUGGUAAUUGUUGGGGCAGCUGUGGUAGUUGUUGGUCCAGUGGUGGUUGUUGUGGGGCUUAAUGUUGCGGUAGUUGGGCCUGCUGUGGUAGUUGUUUGUCCAGCUGUGGUAGUUUUUGGGGCAGCUGUGGUCGUUGAGGCAGCUGUGGUUGUUGUUGAUCCAGCUGUGGUAGUUGUUGGAUCAGCUGUGGUAGUUGUUGGGGCAGUUGUGGUUGUUGCUGUUCCAGCUCUGGUAGUUGUUGGGGCAGCUGUGGUAGUCGUUGG